rnacentral:rRNA from 1 species
GACGAACGCUGGCGGCGUGCUUAACACAUGCAAGUCGAACGGAAAGGCCCUGCUUUUGUGGGGUGCUCGAGUGGCGAACGGGUGAGUAACACGUGAGUAACCUGCCCUUUACUUUGGGAUAACUUCAGGAAACUGGUGCUAAUACCUGAUAGGAGCUCCUGCUGCAUGGUGGGGGUUGGAAAGUUUCGGCGGUUGGGGAUGGACUCGCGGCUUAUCAGCUUGUUGGUGGGGUAGUGGCUUACCAAGGCUUUGACGGGUAGCCGGCCUGAGAGGGUGACCGGCCACAUUGGGACUGAGAUACGGCCCAGACUCCUACGGGAGGCAGCAGUGGGGAAUAUUGCACAAUGGGCGGAAGCCUGAUGCAGCAACGCCGCGUGCGGGAUGACGGCCUUCGGGUUGUAAACCGCUUUCGCCUGUGACGAAGCGUGAGUGACGGUAAUGGGUAAAGAAGCACCGGCUAACUACGUG